UCUACCCAGUAGUGGGGGACAACUUGGGGAAACUCAAGCUAAUACCGCAUACGCCCUACGGGGAAAGCGGGGGACCUUCGGGCCUCGUGCUAUUGGAUGAGCCUGCGUUGGAUUAGCUAGUUGGUGGGGUAAAGGCCUACCAAGGCGACGAUCCAUAGCUGGUCUGAGAGGAUGAUCAGCCACACUGGGACUGAGACACGGCCCAGACUCCUACGGGAGGCAGCAGUGGGGAAUAUUGCGCAAUGGGGGCAACCCUGACGCAGCCAUGCCGCGUGUGUGAAGAAGGCCUUCGGGUUGUAAAGCACUUUCAAUUGGGAGGAAAGGUUCAAAGUUAAUAACUUUGAGCUGUGACGUUACCUUUAGAAGAAGCACCGGCUAACUCCGUGCCAGCAGCCGCGGUAAUACGGAGGGUGCGAGCGUUAAUCGGAAUUACUGGGCGUAAAGCGCGCGUAGGGGUUUGUUAAGUCGGAUGUGAAAGCCCUGGCUCAACCUGGGAAUUGCAUUCGAUACUGGCUGACUGGAGUGCGAGAGAGGGAGGUAGAAUUCCACGUGUAGCGGUGAAAUGCGUAGAUAUGUGGAGGAAUACCGGUGGCGAAGGGGCCUCCUGGCUCGACACUGACGCUGAGGUGCGAAAGGUGGGGAGUAAACAGGAUUAGAUACCCUGGUAGUCCACGCCGUAAACGAUGUCUACUAGCCGUUGGGGAACUUGAUUCUUUGGUGGCGCAGUUAACGCGAUAAGUAGACCGCCUGGGGAGUACGGCCGCAAGUUAAAACUCAAAUGAAUUGACGGGGG
rnacentral:rRNA from 1 species